CUAGUGGGCUUGUGGUGACGCAGUCGACACGGAGAAUAGAGAUCUCAACUUCGCGUGAUCGACUUGUUAUCAGAUGUGUACGCUACUAUGGGCUGGGCCAUAACGUUAUUGCGACAACCUGCUACGGGAAAUUCUACUUGUAGUCUGUGUUUACCUAAAAGCGGACCUGAAAUUGACUUGACUUGAAUAACAGAAGUUGGCCCUCGAGUACCACCAUGGAUACUCUUAAUACGUAUUAGGAUUUGAAAUCUAAAGCGCUUAAAAACUGAGUAAAAUGUGCUAAAAAAGUACUUGUAUUUUGUUUAUUUAUUUUUACUUUUUAAAAUUUCAAGAUGACUUUUGCACAUUCACAUUGCAUUGUUUGAGUUCGAGGGGCCUUGCUAGUCUCAAAUCGUAUGAAGAAAUCGAAAGAAAAUAAAGGAUUUUAUCUAGGUAUGAAAGUGCUAAGACAUCGCCCUAACAGAAGUUGGCCCUCAGUCCCACCAUGGGUAUUCUUAAUACGUUAAGGAUUUGAAAUCUAAAGCGCUUAAAAACUGAGUAAAAUGUGCUAUAAAAUUGCUUGUAUUUUUGUUUAUUUAUUUCUACUUUUUAAAAUUCCAAGAUGACUUAUGAACACCAGUCACAUUGCAUUGUUUGAGUUCGAGGGGCCUUGCUAGUCUCAAAUCGUUCAUCGUAUAAAGAAGUCGAAAGAAAAUACAGGAUUUCAUCUAGGAUCAUGUGCUGGCCGCAAGCGUAGAUAAAAACAGUUGUUAUCUAAAAGAGCAGAAAGCAUAUUCUGUAUGCAAAAUGCUUUUUUUUACCUUUCUUUAGCCCUUGUUCGUAGUGACAGACAUCUGUUUGUCGCUUUUGCCGAUUAGAAUAUCGAAAAAUUCUGCGCAUUUCUGCUCGCCCCUUUGCUAGCCUCAAGAGAGCCAUCUGGUAAGGUUUAAGGGUGUAAUGGCCUUGAGUCCUACUCGAACUAAGCUCACUUGUUAGAGUAAUCAGUAUACAGCUACUUACGGCUUUCACGGCCUAAUGAUGAUUAUAAUGACCACGCAAACUGCUUUAAAAC